UAAGCCGUAACUAAAAAAUGUCUUCCGUUAAAAUCAACAUUUUAUGCAAAUUUAAGACCACCGCCAACAGGCCUGAUGACAUCGUGGGAAUUAAUUUGGCUUGACGAACAAAGCAAUAGAAUUAAACAUUGCAAUAAUAUGUCAAAGCUGGAGAACUUUCGUCUGUAAAGGAAGAGAGAGGACUAAAAAAACUACCAUCCACACAGUAUUUCUAUUUCAAUUAAUUCAUUUUCAAUAAAUGUGUCUUGAAUUUGAUUCGAA